AUUGAAGAUGCCUGAUUAAAGGACUACUUUGAUGAAGUAGAACAAGAAAAUUAAUCUAAUCCUAAAAAUU
rnacentral:tRNA from 1 species